CGUCCUCCCUAAGGUUAGACUACCUACUUCUGGUGCAACAAACUCCCAUGGUGUGACGGGCGGUGUGUACAAGGCCCGGGAACGUAUUCACCGCGGCAUUCUGAUCCGCGAUUACUAGCGAUUCCGACUUCACGCAGUCGAGUUGCAGACUGCGAUCCGGACUACGAUCGGCUUUUUGAGAUUAGCAUCUGCUCGCGCAGUAGCAACCCUUUGUACCGACCAUUGUAGCACGUGUGUAGCCCUGGCCGUAAGGGCCAUGAUGACUUGACGUCGUCCCCGCCUUCCUCCAGUUUGUCACUGGCAGUAUCCUUAAAGUUCCCACCCAAAGUGCUGGCAAAUAAGGAAAAGGGUUGCGCUCGUUGCGGGACUUAACCCAACAUCUCACGACACGAGCUGACGACAGCCAUGCAGCACCUGUAUCAGAGUUCCCGAAGGCACCAAUCCAUCUCUGGAAAGUUCUCUGUAUGUCAAGGCCAGGUAAGGUUCUUCGCGUUGCAUCGAAUUAAACCACAUGCUCCACCGCUUGUGCGGGCCCCCGUCAAUUCAUUUGAGUUUUAGUCUUGCGACCGUACUCCCCAGGCGGUCUACUUAUCGCGUUAGCUGCGCCACUAAAGCCUCAAGGGCCCCAACGGCUAGUAGACAUCGUUUACGGCAUGGACUACCAGGGUAUCUAAUCCUGUUUGCUCCCCAUGCUUUUCGCACCUCAGUGUCAGUAUUAGGCCAGAUGGCUGCCUUCGCCAUCGGUAUUCCUCCAGAUCUCUACGCAUUUCACCGCUACACCUGGAAAUUCUACCAUCCUCUCCCAUACUCUAGCUAACCAGUAUCGAAUGCAAGUCCCACUGAAGCUCGAGGAUUUCACAUUUGACUUAAUUAGGCGACCUACGCGCGCUUUACCGCCAGUAAAUUCAGAUUAACGCUUGCACCCUCACGCAUUACCGGCGGCUGCUGGCA
rnacentral:rRNA from 1 species